rnacentral:rRNA from 1 species
UGGUGGAGUGAUUUGUCUGGUUAAUUCCUGCUAAAUAGCCAGCGUGUAUGAUCUCGCGCGCUGCGCUUCUUAGAGGGAUAGGCUACUCUUAGUGGCAAGAAACUGAGCAAUAACA